rnacentral:rRNA from 1 species
UACGUAGGGUCCGAGCGUUGUCCGGAAUUAUUGGGCGUAAAGAGCUCGUAGGCGGUUUGUCGCGUCUGCUGUGAAAUCCCGAGGCUCAACCUCGGGCCUGCAGUGGGUACGGGCAGACUGGAGUGCGGUAGGGGAGAAUGGAAUUCUCGGUGUAGCGGUGAAAUGCGUAGAUAUCGAGAGGAACACCUGCGGCGAAGGCGGGUUGCUGGGCUGAUACUGACGCUGAGGCGCGAAAGCCAGGGGAGCGAACGGG